rnacentral:rRNA from 1 species
GACGAACGCUGGCGGCGUGCUUAACACAUGCAAGUCGAACGAAGAGCGAUGGAAGCUUGCUUCUAUCAAUCUUAGUGGCGAACGGGUGAGUAACGCGUAAUCAACCUGCCCUUCAGAGGGGGACAACAGUUGGAAACGACUGCUAAUACCGCAUACGAUCUGACCUCGGCAUCGAGGAUAGAUGAAAGGUGGCCUCUACAUGUAAGCUAUCACUGAAGGAGGGGAUUGCGUCUGAUUAGCUAGUUGGAGGGGUAACGGCCCACCAAGGCGAUGAUCAGUAGCCGGUCUGAGAGGAUGAACGGCCACAUUGGGACUGAGACACGGCCCAGACUCCUACGGGAGGCAGCAGUGGGGAAUCUUCCGCAAGGGACGAAAGUCUGACGGAGCAACGCCGCGUGAGUGAUGACGGCCUUCGGGUUGUAAAGCUCUGUUAAUCGGGACGAAAGGCCUUUUUGCGAAUAGUGAGAAGGAUUGACGGUACCGGAAUAGAAAGCCACGGCUAACUACGUG